AUUUUAGUUUCGUCCUCUCGUGUCCUGUAUGCAUCCAGAUGAAGAGGGACUUUCUCCCUGAUGGUGUUUGGCGGCUGGGUGUUCGUUUGCGAACCGCGAACAUCGUCUCUUGUUCCUAUCCCGGCACGGGUUCCCCUGUCUCCAUGGUCAUCAUGCUUGUUUCCCUUCGUCACAUGGGCGUCAUUCGUAGUUACGUCUGGUCCAGCCAUUUCCAUAUGCUUAUUCCGUUCUUUGUCGUUUCCUGAAACUGGUGACGACAGAGUGUCGGUGUGUCGAAGCGGAGAGGCAGUGGGUUCAGCGGCAUUUUCUUUUGAGGUUGGCUGCUCCUUGACUUGCUUGGGCGAAGCGCCAUUCUGUGCCACUGCAUCCUGCCGGAUGGCUCCGGGAUUUUUCCCUUGCAGAUGUUUGUCACGGUUUUUCUCGUCUCGUGCCAGGAAGCCUCCUCCCGUUCCCAUUCGGAAUCCGCUAAACGGAAACCAGGAAGAAAUCAACGAGCUCACGCCAUUCUCUUUCGUUUGAGUCUCUACCCUGUUGCCGACUAGUCCUGUCGGCAGUCCGUUCAAAAGGCCAUCCCUAGCACUGCUCUGAUCAUUUCGACGGCUUGAUUUGGGUUGGGUUCCUUUGAUGGUUUUGCCACCAUCUGCUUCAUUCAUUGAGAAAGUUCCCAAAAGUUCCGCGAGCGCUCCGGCGGGCCAAAAAGAGCUUCCGAACUUCAGUGAAGGGAGUAGGCUGGGCGCAUCAUCUCCACCGGAAAGAAUCAUCCGGCGGUUGAGUCGCGGAGAACGGUGUGAGGCACUAAUAUUGGGGCAAAAACGAGGCCCAGAUGCGAAGGUUUCUCGUCUAGUGAACCGGCUAUUGGUAGCCGCGUUAACGUCCUUCAAAAAGCAUUUUGCUGUCUUUUUGUCGUACGUCCAGAAGAAACACAGCUGGGUGCGAGAACACUUCCACCAGCAGUCAUGUGCAGACGGGGUUGUCGAUGGAUUUUCGGAGCCAAUAUCCAAAUCAUGACCCUCAUACAUGAAACCUUUCUUGGCACAAGCUGGU
rnacentral:lncRNA from 1 species